UGGGGAAUAUUGCGCAAUGGGGGAAACCCUGACGCAGCAACGCCGCGUGAAUGAUGAAGGCCUUAGGGUUGUAAAGUUCUGUCUUCUGGGACGAUAAUGACGGUACCAGAGGAGGAAGCCACGGCUAACUACGUGCCAGCAGCCGCGGUAAUACGUAGGUGGCAAGCGUUGUCCGGAUUUACUGGGCGUAAAGGAUGCGUAGGCGGAUAUUUAAGUCAGAUGUGAAAUACCCGGGCUCAACUUGGGUGCUGCAUUUGAAACUGAAUAUCUAGAGUGCGGGAGAGGUAAGUGGAAUUCCUAGUGUAGCGGUGAAAUGCGUAGAGAUUAGGAAGAACACCAGUGGCGAAGGCGACUUACUGGACCGUAACUGACGCUGAGGCAUGAAAGCGUGGGGAGCAAACAGGAUUAGAUGCCCUGGUAGUCACGCCGUAAACGAUGAAUACUAGGUGUAGGAGGUAUCGACCCCUUCUGUGCCGCAGUUAACACAAUAAG
rnacentral:rRNA from 1 species